CAGAGUUACAGCCAGGGCCGGCGCUACCACUAGGCAGCUUUAGGCAGCUGCCUAUGGGCGGCGACCACUGGAGGGCGGCACCGCACAGUGAAUGAAAGAGAGAACGCUUCAGCUCAGCUAAACUCCUCCGUGCUGCCACAGACAGUGAAGUGAACAUUCCAGGAGCCAGAACAUUGGACACAGGAGGCCGGGGACAUUGGAACUGUCGCUGCUGCUACUACUACUUCAGGUGCUGAUGGAGCUCGAGGAGGAGCGUGGGGGCGGCACCUUCACCCAGGCAGGAAAGGGCUUUCCUAACCGUCGGCUGAUCUGUCCCCCUCACAGCCAGGGUCUUCAAGGGCGACAUCCCUUAUCUGUAGCCACAGCAUCAGUCUGAACAGAAAGGCAAGCACGGUCAGUGCUACAUUAAAGUGUGGUUGUGUAUAUACAGUA